GACGAACGCUGGCGGCGUGCUUAACACAUGCAAGUCGAGCGGUAAGGCCCUUUCGGGGGUACACGAGCGGCGAACGGGUGAGUAACACGUGGGUGACCUGCCCUCAGCUCUGGGAUAAGCCUGGGAAACCGGGUCUAAUACCGGAUAUGACUCCAUGACGCAUGUUGUGGGGUGGAAAGCCUUGUGCGGCUGAGGAUGGGCCCGCGGCCUAUCAGCUUGUUGGUGGGGUGAUGGCCUACCAAGGCGACGACGGGUAGCCGGCCUGAGAGGGCGACCGGCCACACUGGGACUGAGACACGGCCCAGACUCCUACGGGAGGCAGCAGUGGGGAAUCUUGCGCAAUGGGCGAAAGCCUGACGCAGCGACGCCGCGUGAGGGAUGACGGCCUGGUCGUAAG
rnacentral:rRNA from 1 species